AACUGAUGAUGGUAGAAGAACUAGUGGGACUCAUUCCAUUAUAAACUUUAAGAAAAGUAAGCUUGACCAAGUCCAUUCAACCAGUAAUCCCAUGUUUUCAAUCAUUAUAGUAAGUAAUAGUAGCCAAUGACCACAGUUACACGGGCUUCCUCUUUUUUAAUUUGAAAAUCGUUGGUCUCGCCCAUACUUUGAAAAAUCUUGAUCAAGUGUCGUCUGCUUUCAUGUUUUGAUUCCUUUCCGCGUGCGCCGAGUGUAACGAACAAGUUUAGAACAAUAAUCUUUUAGGUGGGAAAUCAUGCGAACAGUUGCAUUAAUAAGUGGAGGGAAAGAUAGUUGUUACAAUAUUUUGCAAUGCAUAGCUGCUGGUCAUGAAAUUGUAGCUCUAGCUAAUCUCCAUCCACCUAGUAACAAUGAAUGUAACACUCCAAUGGUUGAUGAGAUGGACAGCUAUAUGUAUCAAACAGUGGGACAUGAUGCCAUAGCCCUUUACUCCGAAGCAACAGGACUACCGUUGUAUCGUGAAACCAUCAGGGGGAAAAGUGUCAAUCAAGGCUCUGACUACACAUUUGGUAGCCCUGAAGAUGAAGUAGAAGAUCUGUACAGACUUCUUUCUUAUGUUAAAGAAACCAAAGCUGUUGAAGGUGUAUCAGUUGGUGCCAUUCUAUCCAACUACCAACGAGUUCGUGUUGAAAAUGUCUGUAGCAGACUUGGUUUAGUAUCACUGAGCUAUUUGUGGCAGAGGGACCAAGAAGAACUAUUAGAAGAAAUGAUUAGAAGUGGCAUGAAUGCCAUACUAAUAAAAGUUGCUGCACUUGGCCUUGAUCCUGAAAAACAUCUUGGCAGAUCCCUCCAACAAUGUCAGCAUGAACUGAUAAAGCUGAAAGGAAAAUUUGGUUUAAAUGUGUGUGGAGAGGGGGGAGAGUAUGAAACCCUUACACUGGACUGCCCAAUCUUCAAAAAAGUGAUUGUUGUAGAGGAAUCAGAAACUGUUCCACAUUCUAAGGAUCCGUUUGCCCCAGUAGCUUACUUGAAAUUUCCCAAGCUCUCGCUUGCCGACAAGGAACCAUCCUCGACACUGGAUUUUGAUCUGAUACGAAAACCUGAAGAUUUUUGUCGCAUUGAAUUAGAUAGUCACUAUGACGAAAAAUCUCAAGAGGCCUCUUCGUGACUGUGCAUUCAAGAAAGCUGACGUGGUUUCAUUCCUGGGAAGUAGUAGAACCAGUUCUGGCAUUAUCUUCAUUAGCGGGUUGGUGGUUGAUUCGGAAUCUGAUUUUAAAGACGUGAUGAAUAUUCUCCAAGGUAUUAUCGAAAACCAUGGCUCUAAUAUGAAAGCGCUCUUAUCUGUUUGCUUGUACAUAAGGGACAUGGCUGAUUAUCCUCGAAUCAAUACCGUUUAUGGCCAAUACUUUGAUUUGAACCCACCAGCGCGAGUAUGUGUAGAA
rnacentral:misc_RNA from 1 species